rnacentral:rRNA from 1 species
UACAGAGGGUGCGAGCGUUAAUCGGAAUUACUGGGCGUAAAGCGUGCGUAGACGGUUACGUAAGUCGGGUGUGAAAGCCCCGGGCUCAACCUGGGAAUUGCAUUCGAGACUGUGUAGCUAGGGUGCGGAAGAGGGAAGCGGAAUUUCCGGUGUAGCGGUGAAAUGCGUAGAUAUCGGAAGGAACAUCAGUGGCGAAAGCGGCUUCCUGGUCCAGCACCCGACGUUCAGGCACGAAAGCGUGGGAGCAA